CCUGCCAGAGGCAGGAGGGGGUUCCUAGAAGAAGGCUGGAGAAGGGUUUGCUGGCUGACCUCCAAGCUGGAGAGCCAAGGCUGAAGGUGGAGAUGCAGCUGCUGACUUCCCCAUGCUGGAGACCUGCUGCCAGAAGAACAGUGAGAGGGCCUGGGGGAGCGAGAGAGGCUCCCCCGCAUUGCAACGUGAAGAUUCUGGCCAAUGGACAAAGAGAGGAAGGCAGCGUUCUUGGCACGGAGUGGGCAGCUAACGGGGGACAGAGGACGCUUGGAUGAGAGAGGGGCAUGCAAUGCUCCUAUGUGAUACAGAGACACGUCACGCGCUGUACGACUGGCUGGUGGUUUUGCAGAGCUUUUCAGCAACCUGUGGGCCCUUCCCUUUCCCCGUCUAACCCCUGCUGGACCGGCUCGGUGGUGGUAUUGAAGAUGGAGUAAGUGUAAUUUGGGGAGAAAAGAGAAGCAGCCGGUUGAGAGAAGCUGGAGCUGCUGCUGUUCUAGUGCAAUCCUGUUUCCUAGAAGACAGACAAGACGAACACGCACUAAAGGGCAAAGAACUGAACAGCAGAGAGAAAACAGCUUCCAUCUCUGGCGCUGACGUUCACUUGCAACCUCACUGCUGGAAAAACAGGCCUGGCACACAAUUUUAUCAGCCAUGCCGAGCCCUGGCAAACUUGUACCUGUGUCAGGCUGUUCAGGGCAUUGUUUUUAGCUGAUUCACUGGUCAGGGGCUUACGGCGGUGCUGUCAAUAGACAGUCUUGGCUGGCUAAGCCAAACUCUUAACCAGAAGGCAAAAGG